rnacentral:piRNA from 1 species
UAACGUUCGUACGAUGGCAGUUCCACCU